rnacentral:rRNA from 1 species
GGAUCAGUGGCGAACGGGUGAGUAACACGUGAGCAAUCUGCCCCUGACUCUGGGAUAAGCGCUGGAAACGGCGUCUAAUACCGGAUACGAACUGCGAAGGCAUCUUCAGCAGUUGGAAAGAAUUUCGGUCAGGGAUGAGCUCGCGGCCUAUCAGCUUGUUGGUGAGGUAAUGGCUCACCAAGGCGUCGACGGGUAGCCGGCCUGAGAGGGUGACCGGCCACACUGGGACUGAGACACGGCCCAGACUCCUACGGGAGGCAGCAGUGGGGAAUAUUGCACAAUGGGCGCAAGCCUGAUGCAGCAACGCCGCGUGAGGGACGACGGCCUUCGGGUUGUAAACCUCUUUUAGCAGGGAAGAAGCGAAAGUGACGGUACCUGCAGAAAAAGCGCCGGCUAACUACGUGCCAGCAGCCGCGGUAAUACGUAGGGCGCAAGCGUUAUCCGGAAUUAUUGGGCGUAAAGAGCUCGUAGGCGGUUUGUCGCGUCUGCUGUGAAAUCCCGAGGCUCAACCUCGGGUCUGCAGUGGGUACGGGCAGACUAGAGUGCGGUAGGGGAGAUUGGAAUUCCUGGUGUAGCGGUGGAGUGCGCAUAUAUCAGGAGGAACACCGAUGGCGAAGGCAGAUCUCUGGGCCGUAACUGACGCUGAGGAGCGAAGGGUGGGGAGCAAACAGGCAUAGAUACCCUGGUAGUCCACCCCGUAAACGUUGGGAACUAGUUGUGGGG